AAUAUCCUGCAUUUGCUAUUGCGCAGAAACAACCCCAAAGCAGGAUUCCUCUUCCCACCCUAGUUCUUCCCUCGGAGUCUGCGAUGUUCCUGAGGAACUCCUCCCAGAAAUUCGUGAAACAACCCCAAAGCAGGAUUCCUGUUCCCACCCUAGUUCUUCCCUCGGAGCCUGCAAUGUUUGUGGGGAACUCCUUCCAGAAAGUUGUGGUGUGCCUUUUGAAAUUACACAGCGGUGGCUGAGAAGAAUAUCAACCGAAGAUGUUCUUUGGGCUUGGCCUUUGUGGGUUUGGCCUUGACCAAGGCAAUCUGUGUCUCUGUUGGAGUGCUUCCCAUCCUAGAGCUUCAUUGUGCACCUCUCAAUACUUAGAAAAGCUAUGAAGGUUGAUAAGCUAUUUUGCAGUAAUGUCAGAGUCGGAAGAACUGGAUAUUUCUCCUAUUAGCUUGGUGUUUAUGCUUCUUUUAUUAUGCCAGAAAAGGGCGAACUUCCUUUGCGCUUGUAAGUAAAGAUAAGGAAAGUAGUUUGCUUAUGCUUUGCUGAUUGCCAUGUUGUAUUCUGAAUGAGCCCUGCCUAGAAUUAGCAUUCAGCCA